CAACAGAUUGAGAGUUUCAGAUAAUACUGAAACUCUGUGAGGGCUAGGGAAAUAGGGAAAGUUAUUAGGGUGUCUGUUACCUUUCUGGAAUCGACGGUGAUGGGGAAAGAGGGAUCAAGGGAAGCACUGAUGGCGGCAGCAGCAGAGUCGUGGGAGCGGAAGGUGAUGAAACCGAGACCACCAUGGACUUGCGGUCGAGGACGGAGCAGUUUUGGCCGAGACCAGUCACGACAACCAUCGCAGGGGAGCUCUGCUUAGAAUCGGUGGUGGUGGUGGUGGUGGGCUCCUGUAGACGAUCUCCUAUAUCAACUCUGCCAUUAGAAUGGUGAAGAGGAUGCAUG